GAUGAACGCUGGCGGCGUGCCUAAUACAUGCAAGUCGAGCGAACAGACGAGGAGCUUGCUCCUCUGACGUUAGCGGCGGACGGGUGAGUAACACGUGGAUAACCUACUUCUAAUACUGGGAUAACUUCGGGAAACCGGAGCUAAUACCGGAGAAUAUAUUGAACCGCAUGGUUCAAUAGUGAAUGACGGUUUUGCUGUCACUUAUAGACGGAUCCGCGCCGCAUUAGCUAGUUGGUAAGGUAACGGCUUACCAAGGCAACGAUGCGUAGCCGACCUGAGAGGGUGAUCGGCCACACUGGAACUGAGACACGGUCCAGACUCCUACGGGAGGCAGCAGUAGGGAAUCUUCCGCAAUGGGCGAAAGCCUGACGGAGCAACGCCGCGUGAGUGAUGAAGGUCUUCGGAUCGUAAAGCUCUGUUAUUAGGGAAGAACAAAUGUGUAUGUAACUAUGCACGUCUUGACGGUACCUAAUGAGAAAGCCACGGCUAACUACGUG
rnacentral:rRNA from 1 species